GUGCUUGCUUCAGUAGCACAUAUACUAAAAUUGGAACAAUAUGGAGUAGAUUAGCAUGGCCCCUGUGCAAGGAUAUCAUGCAAAUCUGUGAAACGUUCUGUACUUUU